GUAAUCAAAAGCUUAUUAAUUGUAAGCCAGCAUGAAGGAAAAAACCUAUCUUCGUUUUUCUUGAUAAAAAUUAGAACUUAAGAGAUAAUAAAAAUAAAUCUUUACCUGUAAGACGAGAAGACCCUAAAAGCUGAUUGUAAUAAAGCAAUUUUUUGGGGAAAAUUUUUAAAUACUCUUAAAAAGAAAUUAUAAAAUAACUUAAAAAUAAGCUACUUUAGGGAUAACAGGGUAAUGCGAAUAUAAAGGUCCAAUAGAAAUUAGCGCUUACCACCUCGAUGUUGGAUUCUUGAGAUCUUCUUCCGCAGAAGGAAGAAACGAAUAGACUGUUCGUCUUUUAAAUCAAG
rnacentral:rRNA from 1 species